UUCCUUAGACUAGCCAUGCAUGUCUUCGAAUAAGAGGAAGCAAUUCUCUCUGAAUCUGCGAACGGCUCCGCAAACCAGUUGUAAACUAUGGCAAGCCCGCUCACGGUCGCCGCAAGGCGGCUGUGGGCAAUAUGAAUAACCCUGGUAAUUCUGAGGCUAAUACAAGAACGUAACCCCUGGCUAACCCACGCGGGAAGGCUAGGGAACGUGCGACAAAACACGGGAAAACCAAGAAAGGGCGCAUGUUACGACCGCGCUACAAAGCAAAGGGCCUAGGCUUGCUCCGGCAGGCCGAAGCCCCGCGCCAGCGGCUCUUGCAUUGUGCUCCUGACCUAUCAUACUAGACGGCAGCGUAACGGACAUGCCAUGGUUACAACGGGUACAGAGGAUUAGGGUUCGAUCCUGGAGAGUGGGCCUGAGAGAUUGCUCAUACUUCUAAGGAAGGCAGCAGGCGCGCAACGUUCCCAUUGGGCAAUGCCCGAGGGCGUUAGGGGACAUAUGAAUGCCUGCCAUUACGGUGGGCAAUAAAAAAGGGGGUCUAAACU
rnacentral:rRNA from 1 species